GUUCUGCCACAUUGCGUCUUAUUUUUGUUCUUUCUAUAGCUGUUGCUUUGGCGGCGCCUUCCUCCCACCUAGCCAGUAACUCCCCCUUCUUCGAAUUCCAGACUGUUAAUCCACAGAGGUGUACUGGACCACCCUUGGGACACCUAGACUUUUCUCUGUACGAAGCACGUGAGGUGAUCUGACAGCUGGAGACCUUCCUGUUACCAGCCAUUGUAAUAAAACAUUCCCCCAAACCA
rnacentral:lncRNA from 12 species